CAUUGAUUGAUGGAAAGGAUGGAAUUGGGGAACUGUCUUUGGACAAUCAAGAGAGUUCAGAAAAAGACAUCGAAUGCUUCUAGUACCUCAAAAACAGUAAUGUAGAAAAGAAAAUUUAAAGUUAUUCACCUAGACUUGAUUUUUGGAAGCGAAAGAUCCGUUUCCUCAUUUCCUCUGGGCUCCUUUCCCAGGGGAGCACAGAUCCUGAGAAGAUGCACCCAAGAAUGGAAGACAGCCUCAUGGUGGAUCUGACCCCUAAAUGAUAUUUUUCAUAUAGUCAAAUCCCACUCCCACUCUCACAUAUACACCCAACGGGGAAUUUGGUAUGGGUCACCUUGCCAGGACUGAUCUACUUGGCAAAACUGUCACCUGCCUGUGUUUGAACCCAGAGGCUGGACUCACCCCAAAGCUUGCUUGUAUUGGGCCUCUUCUUGGCUCCCAAUCAAGACCACCCACCAUCUGCUGCUUGACCUUCUUCCAUUCUGGUCCUAAGAAGAAAGAGGAACUGGAUAAUGGGAGAACGAAGUAGGCUUUGACCAAGGCUGGAAACCAUGAGUGUUUGUCCAAUGCUACGUCCUGUGUACCAGAGGUAACAUAAUAACCAUUCCUGCUGUGUCCCUUCAUUCCUGUUGGGGGUUCUGGCAGACCCUCAUCAAUCUGGAGGAAGAGCAAUAGAAGAGAAGUUUGGUGGACUCUUUUAUUCUGGAAUGUUGUGAGAUAUUUCAGGCAAUAUAGUGGGUUUAGAGAAAACUAUAACCAACACUGGUGUAUCCAUCGCUCACCUUAAGAAUCAGUAUUUUACAAAUAAGAAUGCAGCAAUAUUGCAGUUUCAAGGAGAGAAAGCCUGUGUGUGUGGGCCUGUGGUUCCACAGAGGACAUAGCCCAGUUUCCCCACAGCUUACCAGUGGCAUGGGGGCAGGGACCCAGAAUUCCCUGCUUGAUGAAGA
rnacentral:lncRNA from 1 species